rnacentral:lncRNA from 1 species
AGAAGAAAUAGUUGAGGUCGUUGGUGCCCAUGGAGUGGAGGACGGCGAGGAGUUGGAGGGCCAGGUCAGCUGCCACCUCGGGGGCUGCCCUGAAGAAGUCGCGUAGGGGCCGGGUGCUGGCGCUGACCACCAGCCGCCCACAGGAGCCCAGGUACCGUGGGAAGGGCCACCCCUCCACGUCGGGGAAGAUCUGUAAGAGGAUA